rnacentral:rRNA from 1 species
GCGGAGGAAAAGAAACCAACCGGGAUUGCCUCAGUAACGGCGAGUGAAGCGGCAAGAGCUCAAAUUUGAAAGCUGGCUCCUUCGGGGUCCGCAUUGUAAUUUGCAGAGGAUGCUUCGGGUGCGGCCCCUGUCUAAGUGCCCUGGAACGGGCCGUCAGAGAGGGUGAGAAUCCCGUCUGGGAUGGGGUGUCCGCGCCCGUGUGAAGCUCCUUCGACGAGUCGAGUUGUUUGGGAAUGCAGCUCUAAAUGGGUGGUAAAUUUCAUCUAAAGCUAAAUACUGGCCGGAGACCGAUAGCGCACAAGUAGAGUGAUCGAAAGAUGAAAAGCACUUUGAAAAGAGAGUUAAAAAGCACGUGAAAUUGUUGAAAGGGAAGCGCUUGCGACCAGACUCGCCUCCAGGGUUCAGCCGGCAUUCGUGCCGGUGUACUUCCCUGGGGGCGGGCCAGCGUCGGUUUGGGCGGCCGGUCAAAGGCUCCCGGAAUGUAGUGCCCUCCGGGGCACCUUAUAGCCGGGAGUGCAAUGCGGCCAGCCUGGACCGAGGAACGCGCUUCGGCACGGACGCUGGCAUAAUGGUCGUAAACGACCCGUCUUGAAACACGGACCAAGGAGUCUAACAUCUACGCGAGUGUUCGGGUGUCAAACCCGUACGCGCAGUGAAAGCGAACGGAGGUGGGAGCCCCCUCGUGGGGCGCACCAUCGACCGAUCCUGAUGUCUUCGGAUGGAUUUGAGUAAGAGCGUAAAUGUGGGGACCCGAAAGAUGGUGAACUAUGCCUGAAUAGGGCGAAGCCAGAGGAAACUCUGGUGGAGGCUCGCAGCGGUUCUGACGUGCAAAUCGAUCGUCAAAUUUGGGUAUAGGGGCGAAAGACUAAUCGAACCAUCUAGUAGC